rnacentral:misc_RNA from 1 species
AGCCGCGGUAAUUCCAGCUCCAAUAGCGUAUAUUAAAGUUGUUGCAGUUAAAAAGCUCGUAGUUGAAUUUCGGGAUUGACACAUCGGUCGUGCCUUAAGGGGCAUGAACUGGUGUAGUCAAUUUCUCACCUUCUGGAGAACCGCGAUGCCCUUAAUUGGGUGUCGCGGGGAACCAGGACCUUUACUUUGAAAAAAUUAGAGUGUUUAAAGCAGGCAUUUUGCUUGAAUACAUUAGCAUGGAAUAAUAAAAUAGGACGGCAUGAUUCUAUUUUGUUGGUUUCUAGGAUCACCGUAAUGAUUAAUAGGGAUAGUUGGGGGCAUUAGUAUUCAAUUGUCAGAGGUGAAAUUCUUGGAUUUAUUGAAGACUAACUACUGCGAAAGCAUUUGCCAAGGAUGUUUUCAUUAAUCAAGAACGAAAGUUAGGGGAUCGAAGACGAUCAGAUACCGUCGUAGUCUUAACCAUAAACUAUGCCGACUAGGAAUCAGACGAUGUUAAUUUUUUAAUGACUCGUUUGGCACCUUACG